rnacentral:rRNA from 1 species
UGCUCCACCGGAAAAAGAAGAGUGGCGAACGGGUGAGUAACACGUGGGUAACCUGCCCAUCAGAAGGGGAUAACACUUGGAAACAGGUGCUAAUACCGUAUAACAAUCGAAACCGCAUGGUUUUGAUUUGAAAGGCGCUUUCGGGUGUCGCUGAUGGAUGGACCCGCGGUGCAUUAGCUAGUUGGUGAGGUAACGGCUCACCAAGGCCACGAUGCAUAGCCGACCUGAGAGGGUGAUCGGCCACAUUGGGACUGAGACACGGCCCAAACUCCUACGGGAGGCAGCAGUAGGGAAUCUUCGGCAAUGGACGAAAGUCUGACCGAGCAACGCCGCGUGAGUGAAGAAGGUUUUCGGAUCGUAAAACUCUGUUGUUAGAGAAGAACAAGGAUGAGAGUAACUGUUCAUCCCUUGACGGUAUCUAACCNGAAAGCCACGGCUAACUACGUGCCAGCAGCCGCGGUAAUACGUAGGUGGCAAGCGUUGUCCGGAUUUAUUGGGCGUAAAGCGAGCGCAGGCGGUUUCUUAAGUCUGAUGUGAAAGCCCCCGGCUCAACCGGGGAGGGUCAUUGGAAACUGGGAGACUUGAGUGCAGAAGAGGAGAGUGGAAUUCCAUGUGUAGCGGUGAAAUGCGUAGAUAUAUGGAGGAACACCAGUGGCGAAGGCGGCUCUCUGGUCUGUAACUGA